CUCUCUCUCAUAUCAGUUGAGCUCUUUCUCUCCCUCUCUCUCAUCAGUCGCGGUCUCCGCCGCCACCGUAUCUUGCUCCUCGCGAGCUCCGCCGCGAACUGCUCCGGCGAGGACGACGGCUAGCCGAGCCUCCUCCAUUCGUCUCGUUUCUUCCUCCUUUCAAAAUCGAGCCCUAGCUCUCCCAAAUUAGAAAUCGCCGUCGCCGCCACCUAUGGAAGAACGGCGAACGGUCGCUGGUCGUUGCUCUACCUGACUCGGACGCUCCCUUCGCCCAUCUCCUCUCGGCUUCAAUCGUCCUUCUCUCCCUCGAAUCUAUUGAAGGAACGAAGAAGAAGCCUUAAUUUCUGCCGGAGACAAGGAUACCGCCGCCGCUGCAACUGGAAGGCCGACUUCGCCGCGCCGCUGCGCUCUCGGCGGCAGCCGCUGGUCAUCAGGCCGCCGAUCCUCGACUGCUCCCUCCUCACCUUACUACCUUUCUUUCAAAGUCGAGUGAAAUUAAAAAGGGAAGAAACCCGAGUUCCUCAGUCAGAAAUAGUCUCCGCCGCCCCUGAAAUCUCCGCGACAUUGUCACCUCAAGCCGGCGUCGCUCCGCCUAAAACUCUACCGCUGCCGCGCACCGAGCCGCUGCUGCUAUUCCAGAAUCGGCGAGGAGCCAUCGCUGGGGUCGGGAGUCGUCUGCCCUCCACCGGUCGACGCUGUCGACGCUGCUGUUCUCGGAGUUACCGCCCAGACGUCGUCUCUCGGCCGGACUAAGCAGGGCAGCGCCCCUCUUUUCUAAAAGCUAAGUUCUCGUCUCCCUCUAUUUUCUAUUAGUCCUUAAGUCUACUGAUGUUAUCCCUUAGAGAACAUGUAACUUUGCUAAGUUUAACAUGCUUAUAGUCAUUUAUCAAUCGAGACUAGUCAUGCUUUGAAAUGAAUGCGAACUGGAUUGAAUACUAGGGAUAGUGAAAUACCUUGAAUAUGUUCAAAUUGAUUGGUUGCUGUUGAGGUAUUAGAGGAACUGGGAUAACUGUUCUGAAAAGAUCGAACUUGUUCCUUUCAAUAAAUGUAAGUUGCAAAUGGGAAGGAGAUGACGAAUCAAAGCUACUCUUACCUUAAAGUUUGGCAGAGCAAUGAAUGCGUGGUUUAUCUUGCUUUUCGGGUAUGGCGUGUCGAAUGAACUAGAACUGAAAAUUGGUGUUGUUGUUUCAGCAAUUGCAGGUGAUCAAUGGAAGAAGAUGGAAGGAGUAAAGCCAAGCUUACCUUAAGGAUUUGGCAGAAAGCAAUGAAGAUACCCGAGAAAGAGGUGGAUGAAUUUACACAAGAUUUCACCUUGAACUUGGCAGGGCACCAAAUGAAGAGCAGUGCAAUCCUUCCUGUUUUUGCUAGAAAUAUUAAGUGUGGAAUGGAACGAAUGAAGGUUACUUGCUGCUGCAGUUUGAAACAAAAGGAAGUUGUUGGGUGUGGAAUGCACACUUGAGUGAGCUAGGGAGAAGGGUGCAGAGGGAUGGGGGCAGCCAUACCUGCUGUACUUGGCAGCAGAGGGGAAGGGUGGAGAGAGGCUGCCCUCUUGCAGCUCACGCUCCCACCUCCCUUUUUCUCUUUCUUUUUGUACUUGCUAGAUUAUGGUGUACUUAGGAAGAUAUGAAUGAAAGUUGAUUGUGAGCAAAAGGUUGCAAAGUUUGAUAAUGAUAUUGUGGUGAAUAAACGCAGUAUUUUCUUA